UAGAGUUUGAUCCUGGCUCAGAUUGAACGCUGGCGGCAGGCCUAACACAUGCAAGUCGAGCGGAUGAAGAGAGCUUGCUCUCUGAUUCAGCGGCGGACGGGUGAGUAAUGCCUAGGAAUCUGCCUGGUAGUGGGGGACAACGUUUCGAAAGGAACGCUAAUACCGCAUACGUCCUACGGGAGAAAGCAGGGGACCUUCGGGCCUUGCGCUAUCAGAUGAGCCUAGGUCGGAUUAGCUAGUAGGUGAGGUAAUGGCUCACCUAGGCGACGAUCCGUAACUGGUCUGAGAGGAUGAUCAGUCACACUGGAACUGAGACACGGUCCAGACUCCUACGGGAGGCAGCAGUGGGGAAUAUUGGACAAUGGGCGAAAGCCUGAUCCAGCCAUGCCGCGUGUGUGAAGAAGGUCUUCGGAUUGUAAAGCACUUUAAGUUGGGAGGAAGGGCAGUAAGUUAAUACCUUGCUGUUUUGACGUUACCGACAGAAUAAGCACCGGCUAACUUCGUGCCAGCAGCCGCGGUAAUACGAAGGGUGCAAGCGUUAAUCGGAAUUACUGGGCGUAAAGCGCGCGUAGGUGGUUCAGCAAGUUGGAGGUGAAAUCCCCGGGCUCAACCUGGGAACUGCCUCCAAAACUACUGAGCUAGAGUACGGUAGAGGGUAGUGGAAUUUCCUGUGUAGCGGUGAAAUGCGUAGAUAUAGGAAGGAACAACAGUGGCGAAGGCGACUACCUGGACUGAUACUGACACUGAGGUGCGAAAGCGUGGGGAGCAAACAGGAUAAAAUACCCUGGUAGUCCACGCCGUAAACGAUGUC
rnacentral:rRNA from 1 species